GUUCACUUCUCUGUUGUGAAGGAGAUACUGUAGGUCUAACCACUAUUUGGGGCUGUGAAGAGGAAGCAACAGGUUUGCGAGUUGUUUGAUGCAGGAAUUGGAAUAUUAGCUACCUGAAACUCCUACCUGGAGCAGUCAGGCAUCUUCAGGCUCAAACAUUUCUCCAUUACAUUGAACAAAACUUUCAUUGUCAAGAGCAGAACAAUUGCUCAUGGCAAUUGCAAACAACUC
ensembl:lncRNA